AGGAGCUAAGCAUGCCGCGGCAGCAGCCAGGAAAUACAAACACCGCUGUCGGCUUUAUUUUGGUGAUGUAUUUUAGAGAAAGGCACAGAGGCUUCAUUCUCAAACAAGGAAGUUUUCUGCCAUCUCUAAUUUCCAAACGUCCAGGACUGAGAUUUACAGUCAAAAUUCAAAAUUUCCUGUUUAUUUUUACUGUCUAAAUGUGUUCAUUUGGCUCAUUCCCACUCCACCUGCUGACAUGCUGAAAGCACCAACCGUAUCUUAAAGGACAUGACAGGUUGCUUAGAUGUGCCACACUGCUUCCUGCUUCCUCUGUGGAUACUGCUGACUAACAGGCAUGAAGGGAAAUGUUCUUGCAUGCACUCUGCUUGUCAAUACUGUUUAUCCGUGACUCCUUAAGACACAUUUUUCUAUUUACCUUUCAAAAUAGGACUGAUAAAGCCUCAGUCUCCUUCCAAAAGAGGGUGGCUGAAGUCACACGGCCAGCAUGUGACUCGACUCCGAUGCAUGGUUUCCAGACACUAUGAACUUGAGGUAAGUGAGGUCUUGACCUCAGAUCCAGGAAGCUUCAGAGCUGCAGGAACAGCCUCAGGAGGAGAGAAGAAAAAGGUCUCACAAUACCUGGAGCGAGUGACCUGCAGCUCGGCUGCUCCUUUUAGCAGAGUGAGUGCAAAGCCAUACAAACAACGCACUCUGCACUCGCUGUCUCAACAAGUGUUGGACCAAUUUCCUUCCACCUCCGUCCUCUCAAACCCAGCCCCAGCAUCUUGUGAUCGCAGCAUCCUUGUGCUCUGCCCAGCUAUGGAAUCCAGACAGCCUGUGAUUGUUUCAGCUCCAAUAUCUGCUUACCAAGCAAAAUACCUCCUUCCCCAUCCUGACUCCUUCCAAAGGCCAACUUUGUGGACUCAAACACAACAAAGGCAAAAGCGCCCAGCUGUAUCCAUCCUGGUGGUCCUAUCUCACUUACAAACGCUCUCAUACACACCAACUCACUUUCCUUCAUGUGAUGUCCAUGCAGCUAUGGAGUGAUGUUUCCAAAAGGAGACGCUGAGGCUCAGACGGAAAUUUCUCUUCUUGGAAACCACUUCAACAGUCUUCAGAAUUUGAGUCUUACUGAGAUCUGUUACUCCAGCAUGCAUUUCUAAACGGAAUCCAACCCACAUCCUCGAAGAUUGUCCUUAAAACAGGUUCUGGUUAGCAAGCUGGCAAACUCGUCUACACACGUUUGCCUCUGCGUAUGGCAACGUUCCCCAAAGGAUAACCUCACAGGAGUCAGGGAAAUCUUAGGUGCAUUCUUCCACAUAGCGGGACUGGAGUGGUGUGGGAGGCAAGAUCUCAGGUCACGUCCCCACUGCCAGGCCAAGGUCCACACUGAGGACCAAGCAGGACUUCCCUGCAGCACUCUCUGAUAGCUUCUCAUCUAGCAGCACACCUUGGAGCAAAUCCCUGGAACAAACACAUCCUGGCUCCCUACUGUGACCCGCUGGACACCAAACCCUACAGCCUUCCUCAUAUAAUGACAGAGACAUGCCUUAAGUGCUCAAGAGCCUCAAAAGAAGACUGAUAGCUGUAAGAAAAGAGGAUAAGGGAAACAGAACUGAGCCUACAGCACUGCCUUAGAUGCGUGCUCCAUCUUCAUUCACGUCUACACGAGUGGGUUAAGUGGGGUCUACAGAAGCUGCGGUGCCUGCCUCUGCUGAAAGGGUAAUAGCUAUGAUGGAGAGGAUGAAAGCCAGUGACACGAAAAGCUAACAUCUGCUGAGCACUUUCUGUGUGCAAGGUCUCGUGCCAAGUGCUGCACACACCCCAUGACAUGCUGCCAAGAGCAAGGAGCCACUAAAAGAUGCUGAGAAGAGAGGGACGGCAUUCCAUACUCCAUGGCGAUGGUCAAUAAAGUGUUACUAGAAGGGGAGGGGACAAUUCUGACAAUUCCUGGACAACUCAGAAAGUUGCUGUUCGGCUGCUUAGUGAACAUCCUUGCUAAGUGAACACCUUACAUCACAUCUGUCGGGGGAUGCCUGUCGUCCUUCUUCGUUGGUACCUAUCACCUGAUGCCUGGCUCCAUUCUGCUCCCUUGGGAGUGACAGCCCAGAUAAGGAGGGACUUCCUCUGAUGGGUUCCUCCGGUGUCACCCAGUACUGGGCAGCCUGACAAAGGCUGCCACAUGUUCCUGAUGCCUCUCCAGAUAGUAGAAUCAUAUGUUUCUUUCUGUUACAGAACUUACAGAAAGAAUUUUGCUCACAUGAAAUGGGCACGGUUAUAUAUGAAGUGGGCGAUUUAUAUGCAGUUACAUGGAGAAGGAGAGGUCAAUGGUUAUUAUCUUUCCUUGGGUUAGGCCUGGGACAACUUCAAGCCAGUGCUCUAAAGGAAAACACUGUACAGGCUGCCAUUGUGGUGGUCCUGAUGGGCGGACUCAGACAGUGUACAAUAAAAUCCACAACUGACCAUGGCGGUAAGUCUCUAAGUAUGCACAGUAAUUUUCAAAAGUCUUGGGGCUGGAGAGAUAGCUCAGUGGUUAAGAGUAGGUACUGCUCUUGCAGAGGACCCAAAUUUGGUUCCUAGUGGCACAUGUGGUGGCUCACAACCACCUAUAAUUGCAGGUCCAGAGGAUUAGACUCCUCUAAUAUAAGGGGGUACCUGCACUCAUAUGCACCUACCCAUUCACACUCAUACACCGAAGAAGCAAAGCAAAGCUUAAAAAUAAAGGCUUGCAGCAUUAAAACUACUUCUUAUCCUCUCAUUAUUAGCCCGUGUUUACUGUUCAUAUUACCUCCCUGAGCUUUAUGUACAUUUUAAUCUAUAAAAUGUAAGUUUAAG
ensembl:antisense A930006L05Rik RIKEN cDNA A930006L05 gene